rnacentral:rRNA from 1 species
UACGUAGGGCGCAAGCGUUGUCCGGAAUUAUUGGGCGUAAAGAGCUCGUAGGCGGCUUGUUGCGUCGGUUGUGAAAGCCCGGGGCUUAACCCCGGGUCUGCAGUCGAUACGGGCAGGCUAGAGUGUGGUAGGGGAGAUCGGAAUUCCUGGUGUAGCGGUGAAAUGCGCAGAUAUCAGGAGGAACACCGGUGGCGAAGGCGGGUCUCUGGGCCGAUAUUGACGCUGAGGAGCGAAAGCGUGGGGAGCGAACAGG